rnacentral:lncRNA from 1 species
UGUCAAUUUGGAAGUGCCUGAGAAUGACACAUGGAGACCAGCCACAGAGCAGUAGUUUUCAAUCUAAUGGCUAGAAUGGUCCUUGGAGAUGGUGCCCUGUUUGAGGUUAGUGGCCGGGGAUCCAGAGAGGCUGGACUCUCCAAGUGACUCCCGAGCCACAUUUUGAAGAGAGACGUGCUGGUCCUGAAGUAUGGUGAAUUCACUUCCAGGCAUAAAGAAAAGAAAGAGCAGGAAAUAUAAUUUGGGAGAUUUUAAUGGCCAGACUUGGAAGUGGUGUGCAUAACUAUUGUCUGCAUUCAGAACACCAUCAUUUGCCCCAGGUUGCUGGAAGAGAAGCAGGAAAAGUAUCCUCAUGUGAGCCCAGGAG